AGGCUUAACACAUGCAAGUCGAGCGCUCGUAGCAAUACGAGAGCGGCAGACGGGAGAGUAACACGUGGGAACGUACCCUUCGGUUCGGAAUAACCCAGGGAAACUUGGGCUAACACCGGAUACGUCCGUAAGGAGAAAGAUUUAUCGCCGAAGGAUCGGCCCGCGCCCGAUUAGCUAGUUGGUGAGGUAAUGGCUCACCAAGGCGACGAUCGGUAGCUGGUCUGAGAGGAUGAUCAGCCUCACUGGGACUGAGACACGGCCCAG
rnacentral:rRNA from 1 species